GACGAACGCNGGCGGCGUGCUUAACACAUGCAAGUCGAACGAAGAGCGAUGGAAGCUUGCUUCUAUCAAUCUUAGUGGCGAACGGGUGAGUAACGCGUAAUCAACCUGCCCUUCAGAGGGGGACAACAGUUGGAAACGACUGCUAAUACCGCAUACGAUCUGACCUCGGCAUCGAGGAUAGAUGAAAGGUGGCCUCUACAUGUAAGCUAUCACUGAAGGAGGGGAUUGCGUCUGAUUAGCUAGUUGGAGGGGUAACGGCCCACCAAGGCGAUGAUCAGUAGCCGGUCUGAGAGGAUGAACGGCCACAUUGGGACUGAGACACGGCCCAGACUCCUACGGGAGGCAGCAGUGGGGAAUCUUCCGCAAUGGACGAAAGUCUGACGGAGCAACGCCGCGUGAGUGAUGACGGCCUUCGGGUUGUAAAGCUCUGUUAAUCGGGACGAAAGGCCUUUUUGCGAAUAGNGAGAAGGAUGACG
rnacentral:rRNA from 1 species